GGGGAAUAUUGCACAAUGGGGGAAACCCUGAUGCAGCGACGCCGCGUGGAGGAAGAAGGUCUUCGGAUUGUAAACUCCUGUUGUUGGGGAAGAUAAUGACGGUACCCAACAAGGAAGUGACGGCUAACUACGUGCCAGCAGCCGCGGUAAAACGUAGGUCACAAGCGUUGUCCGGAAUUACUGGGUGUAAAGGGAGCGCAGGCGGGAAGACAAGUUGGAAGUGAAAUCUAUGGGCUCAACCCAUAAACUGCUUUCAAAACUGUUUUUCUUGAGUAGUGCAGAGGUAGGCGGAAUUCCCGGUGUAGCGGUGGAAUGCGUAGAUAUCGGGAGGAACACCAGUGGCGAAGGCGGCCUACUGGGCACCAACUGACGCUGAGGCUCGAAAGUGUGGGUAGCAAACAGGAUUAGAUACCCUGGUAGUCCACACCGUAAACGAUGAUUACUAGGUGUUGGAGGAUUGACCCCUUCAGUGCCGCAGUUAACACAAUAAGUAAUCCACCUGGGGAGUACGACCGCAAGGUUGAAACUCAAAGGAAUUGACGGGGGCCCGCACAAGCAGUGGAGUAUGUGGUUUAAUUCGACGCAACGCGAAGAACCUUACCAAGUCUUGACAUCCCUUGACAGGCAUAGAAAUAUGUUUUCUCUUCGGAGCAAGGAGACAGGUGGUGCAUGGUUGUCGUCAGCUCGUGUCGUGAGAUGUUGGGUUAAGUCCCGCAACGAGCGCAACCCUUACUGUCAGUUACUACGCAAGAGGACUCUGGCAGGACUGCCGUUGACAAAACGGAGGAAGGUGGGGAUGACGUCAAAUCAUCAUGCCCUUUAUGACUUGGGCUACACACGUACUACAAUGGCGUUAAACAAAGAGAAGCAAGACCGCGAGGUGGAGCAAAACUCAGAAACAACGUCCCAGUUCGGACUGCAGGCUGCAACUCGCCUGCACGAAGUCGGAAUUGCUAGUAAUCGUGGAUCAGCAUGCCACGGUGAAUACGUUCCCG
rnacentral:rRNA from 1 species